CUGAGGCGCUUGUAACGGCUUACCUGUCGGCAUAUUAGUGGAGAGGCAAGGUGGGAAACACGUCAGUUUCCAGAGACGUUCAAUUAUCUCAGCUACGUCGGCAAAGAGAACAAACGUCUGGCAAAGAAGCUGAAUAACGUGAUUUGGGUGGAUUUUCCGCCGAUGUGACUGAGCGGCUUUUAUUUUAAGUCACUGGAUUGAGGAAAUGUUGAAAAUAGCACACGGCUCUCUUAAUGAGACCUCCAGAGGAAAGAAGGAGCCCACCGGUCACUGGACUGACUGGGGGAUGGGACAUUAGCCUUCAACCUUUUGCAGGAUCAGUUUGAAAGGAGAUCAGAAGGAGGAGGAGGGGUCUAUACCAGGAGUCUGACCAAAUGACCUGCAGGCUGAUUAUAUGUCAUUAACUGGAGACUCGGCCUAUUUAAAUUACUCAGAACUUCCAUUCAGACAGAUGAAUUACGCCUGAACCCCACACACAACACUUAAACACGAAUAAAUCAUGAACCUUC